rnacentral:rRNA from 1 species
ACCCCUUGAAGACGACGAGGUAGAUAGGUUGGAGGUGGAAGUGCAGCAAUGCAUGGAGCUGACCAAUACUAAUCGGUCGAGGGCUUAUCCAA